rnacentral:tRNA from 1 species
GGCCCUAUAGUUGAAUGGAUACAACAGCCCCCUCCUAAGGGGCAGGUACAGGUUCGAUUCCUGUUGGGGCUACCA